rnacentral:rRNA from 1 species
UAUGCCGCAAGGUGAAAUACGAAAGUGCCUAAAGACGAGCUCGCGCCUGAUUAGCUAGUUGGUGGGGUAAAGGCCUACCAAGGCGACGAUCAGUAGCUGGUUUGAGAGAAUGAUCAGCCACACUGGAACUGAGACACGGUCCAGACUCCUGCGGGAGGCAGCAGUGGGGAAUUUUCCGCAAUGGGCGAAAGCCUGACGGAGCAAUACCGCGUGAGGGAUUAAGGCCUGUGGGUUGUAAACCUCUUUUCUCAAGGAAGAAUCAAUGACGGUACUUGAGGAAUAAGCAUCGGCUAACUCCGUGCCAGCAGCCGCGGUAAUACGGGGGAUGCAAGCGUUAUCCGGAAUUAUUGGGCGUAAAGCGUCUGUAGGUUGUUUAAUAAGUCUGUUGUUAAAGACUGGGGCUUAACCCCAGGAAAGCAAUAGAAACUGUUAGGCUAGAGUGUGGUAGAGGUAGAGGGAAUUCCUAGUGUAGCGGUGAAAUGCGUAGAUAUUAGGAAGAACACCGGUGGCGAAAGCGCUCUGCUGGGCCAUAACUGACACUCAGAGAUGAAAGCUAGGGUAGCAAAUGGGAUUAGAUACCCCAGUAGUCCUAGCCGUAAACGAUGGAUACUAGAUGUUGCGUAACUCGAUUAUGCAGUGUUGUAGCUAACGCGUUAAGUAUCCCGCCUGGGGAGUACACUCGCAAGGGUGAAACUCAAAGGAAUUGACGGGGGCCCGCACAAGCGGUGGAGCAUGUGGUUUAAUUUGAUGCAACGCGAAGAACCUUACCAAGGCUUGACAUGUCACG